AGGAAGUUGGCUUCACUAGGGCAAGGAAUGAAUGGCCACCACUGCUUUUGUGCCAAAGGACUAAGCCUCCCUGGGAGAGAGGACAAGAACAGGCUGGAGGAGGGGUGCCCUUCAUCAUCUUGUGAGCAUCUGGGCCAAGUUCAGGGCUGGUGCUCUCGUUCAGAUAGAUUUAGCUGGUGGUGCAGAGAUCCGUGAGCUUGCUUUUACAGGACUUUAAUGAUAUAUAAAAGCAGCACGAGGUGCUCCUGACUGUGGAUUAAUUUGGAGAUGACUUUCUCUGUUGAAGAGUAGCAAGACUCUCGCGAGUUCUUAAAAAUGCACUUGUUUGGUAUGAGAAUGAAAAGCAGUGGCUGAAGAACCAAUCUUCAAUGGGCAAGCCUUCUCUGAUGCCUUGUUGGUGGUAUAGUGUGAAUCCAUUAGCACUGAACUCAGGACCAGCAAUGGUGUGACUCAGGCCUGAAGGAAGCUUUUCUAGCACAUGGAUUUCCUCUGUAAGGCACCUCACAGCCUCUCGUGCCUGGGAACUCUAGCCAGCACUGUAGCACGAUGCCUAGGGCCAUUAUAAAUGUGAAAUCACCAAAGAAACCCCACAAAAAUGUGAAAAUCACGGCACUAAAUAGACCACAAAAAGGAUGCUUGUUUGACUGCAAACAAGUAUGAGAACUGGAACCAGAAAGUAGGAUGUCAUCUUGUUCUUCCUUAGCACUGGAUGACUCAAAUUUCUCUCCACUCUGCCAGUGUCUUUGAAUGACCAGGAAAUUGCUGGGAAUAUUGAUUUUGGGAUAACAAAUAAAUUUUAUCGACUAG
rnacentral:lncRNA from 1 species